rnacentral:tRNA from 1 species
GGGACAUAGCUUAGUGGUAGAGCAUAUGCUUAUCAUGUGUGAAGCCUUGAGUUCAAUCCCCAUUUACCA